GAUGAACGCUGGCGGCGUGCUUAACACAUGCAAGUCGAACGGUGAAGGCGGAGCUUGCUCUGCUGGAUCAGUGGCGAACGGGUGAGUAACACGUGAGCAAUCUGCCCCUGACUCUGGGAUAAGCGCUGGAAACGGCGUCUAAUAUGGGAUAGGGGCUGGGAAGCAAUUUUAAGAGGUGGGAAAGAAUUUCGGUCAGGGAUGAGCUCGCGGCCUAUCAGCUUGUUGGUGAGGUAAUGGCUCACCAAGGCGUCGACGGGUAGCCGGCCUGAGAGGGUGACCGGCCACACUGGGACUGAGACACGGCCCAGACUCCUACGGGAGGCAGCAGUGGGGAAUAUUGCACAAUGGGCGAAAGCCUGAUGCAGCAACGCCGCGUGAGGGACGACGGCCUUCGGGUUGUAAACCUCUUUUAGCAGGGAAGAAGCGAAAGUGACGGUACCUGCAGAAAAAGCGCCGGCUAACUACGUG
rnacentral:rRNA from 1 species